rnacentral:rRNA from 1 species
AGUCAAGUAAUUAAGUGCAUGUGGUGGAUGCCUUGGCAGUCAGAGGCGAUGAAAGACGUGAUAGCCUGCGAAAAGCUCCGGGGAGGCGGCAAAUAUCCUUUGAUCCGGAGAUGUCUGAAUGGGGGAACCCACCUACUUUAAGGUAGGUAUUGCAACAUGAAUACAUAGUGUUGCAAGGCGAACGAGGGGAAGUGAAACAUCUCAGUACCCUUAGGAAAAGAAAUCAAUUGAGAUUCCCUCAGUAGCGGCGAGCGAACGGGGAUCAGCCCAUUAAGUUAUGUGUGUUUUAGUGGAACGCUCUGGGAAGUGCGAACGUAGAGGGUGAUAUUCCCGUACACGAAAGGGCACACAUAAUGAUGACGAGUAGGGCGAGGCACGUGAAACCUUGUCUGAAUAUGGGGGGACCAUCCUCCAAGGCUAAAUACUCCUGACUGACCGAUAGUGAACCAGUACCGUGAGGGAAAGGCGAAAAGAACCCCUGUGAGGGGAGUGAAAUAGAUCCUGAAACCGCAUGCAUACAAGCAGUGGGAGCACCUUCGUGGUGUGACUGCGUACCUUUUGUAUAAUGGGUCAGCGACUUAUAUUCAGUAGCGAGGUUAACCGUAUAGGGGAGCCGUAGAGAAAUCGAGUCUUAAUAGGGCGUUUAGUUGCUGGGUAUAGACCCGAAACCAGGCGAUCUAUCCAUGAGCAGGUUGAAGGUUGGGUAACACUAACUGGAGGACCGAACCCACUGUCGUUGAAAAGCCAGGGGAUGACUUGUGGAUAGGGGUGAAAGGCUAAUCAAGCCUGGUGAUAGCUGGUUCUCCCCGAAAGCUAUUUAGGUAGCGCCUCGGACGAAUACCAUAGGGGGUAGAGCACUGUUUCGGCUAGGGGGUCAUCCCGACUUACCAAACCGAUGCAAACUCCGAAUACCUAUGAGUACUAUCCGGGAGACAGACUGCGGGUGCUAACGUCCGUAGUCAAGAGGAAAACAAUCCAGACCGCCAGCUAAGGCCCCAAAAUCAUAGUUAAGUGGGAAACGAUGUGGGAAGGCAUAGACAGCUAGGAGGUUGGCUUAGAAGCAGCCACCCUUUAAAGAAAGCGUAAUAGCUCACUAGUCGAGUCGGCCUGCGCGGAAGAUGUAACGGGGCUAAAACUAUGUGCCGAAGCUGCGGAUGUAUACUUUGUAUACGUGGUAGGGGAGCGUUCUGUAAGCCGAUGAAGGUGUGUUGAGAAGCAUGCUGGAGGUAUCAGAAGUGCGAAUGCUGACGUGAGUAACGACAAAACGGGUGAAAAACCCGUUCGCCGAAAGACCAAGGGUUCCAGUCCAACGUUAAUCGGGGCUGGGUGAGUCGACCCCUAAGGCGAGGCCGAAAGGCGUAGUCGAUGGGAAAAUGGUUAAUAUUCCAUUACUUCUGUGUAAUGCGAUGAGAGGACGGAGAAGGCUAAAUCAGCCUGGCGUUGGUUGUCCAGGUGAAAGGAUGUAGGCAUGUAUCUUAGGCAAAUCCGGGGUACUCUAUGCUGAGAUCUGAUAGCAAGCUGUACUUGUACAGCGAAGUGGUUGAUGCCAUGCUUCCAGGAAAAGUCUCUAAGCUUCAGUUACACAGGAAUCGUACCCGAAACCGACACAGGUGGUCAGGUCGAGUAGACCAAGGCGCUUGAGAGAACUCUGCUGAAGGAACUAGGCAAAAUGGUACCGUAACUUCGGGAGAAGGUACGCUGUUGUUGGUGAUGGAACUCGCUUCCUGAGCUGACGACAGCCGCAGAAACCAGGCCGCUGCAACUGUUUAUUAAAAACAUAGCACUCUGCAAACACGAAAGUGGACGUAUAGGGUGUGAUGCCUGCCCGGUGCUGGAAGGUUAAUUGAUGGGGUUAGCGUAAGCGAAGCUCUUGAUCGAAGCCCCAGUAAACGGCGGCCGUAACUAUAACGGUCCUAAGGUAGCGAAAUUCCUUGUCGGGUAAGUUCCGACCUGCACGAAUGGCAUAAUGAUGGCGGCGCUGUCUCCAGCAGAGGCUCAGUGAAAUCGAAAUCGCUGUGAAGAUGCAGUGUACCCGCGGCUAGACGGAAAGACCCCGUGAACCUUUACUGCAGCUUGACACUGAACUUUGACCUUACUUGUGUAGGAUAGGUGGGAGGCUUUGAAGCUGGAACGCUAGUUCCAGUGGAGCCGUCCUUGAAAUACCACCCUGGUAAUGUUGAGGUUCUAACUCUGUCCCGUGAUCCGGGACGAGGACCGUGUCUGGUGGGUAGUUUGACUGGGGCGGUCUCCUCCUAAAGAGUAACGGAGGAGUACGAAGGUGCGCUCAGCGUGGUCGGAAAUCACGCGUAGAGUAUAAAGGCAAAAGCGCGCUUAACUGCGAGACCCACAAGUCGAGCAGGUACGAAAGUAGGUCUUAGUGAUCCGGUGGUUCUGUAUGGAAGGGCCAUCGCUCAACGGAUAAAAGGUACUCUGGGGAUAACAGGCUGAUACCGCCCAAGAGUUCAUAUCGACGGCGGUGUUUGGCACCUCGAUGUCGGCUCAUCUCAUCCUGGGGCUGAAGCAGGUCCCAAGGGUAUGGCUGUUCGCCAUUUAAAGAGGUACGCGAGCUGGGUUUAGAACGUCGUGAGACAGUUCGGUCCCUAUCUACCGUGGGCGCUGGAAAUUUGAGAGGAUCUGCUCCUAGUACGAGAGGACCAGAGUGGACGAACCUCUGGUGUACCGGUUGUGACGCCAGUCGCAUCGCCGGGUAGCUAUGUUCGGAAGGGAUAACCG